UAUAGCAAUAGCUACUUGCAUCGUAUGAUGCAAGAUCGACUAUGUCGAAUAAAAUUCUAGGUAGAAUUAUGAUAAUGACAUUGUCUGCCUAUGUGUCUUGACCAAAUUACGUGCCAGCAGUCGCGGUAAUACGUAGAAGACUAGUGUUAUUCAUGUUUAAUCGGUUUAAAGGGUACCUAGACGGUAAAUCAAGCUUUCAAAUAAAUAGAGUUAAAGGACUAAUUUACUAGAGUUACUUAUGAGGGGGUAUUAAAGUACUGCUGGUGUAGAGAUGAAAUUCUGUCAUACCUUUUUUCAAAAGAAAAAUGAUGGCACAGGUAUAGGCGAAGGCAUCCCCUUAUGUGAUAACUGACGUUGAGGGACGAAGGCUUUGUGUAGCGAACAGGAUUAGAUACCCCAGUAGUCGAAGCAGAAAAUGAUGAAUGUCAUAGAUUAGAGGUAAGUUUAUUCUAUAAAUGAAAGUGUAAGCAUUCCACCUCAUGAGUAAUUUGGCAACAUUGGAACUGAAAUCAUUAGACCGUUUCUGAAACCAGUAGUGAAGUAUGUUGUUUAAUUUGAUGAUCCGCAAAAAACCUUACCACAAUUUGAAUAUUUAUAUUUUUUUUUAUUGUUAAUAAAGAGGCAAUAAGAUAUAUUUACAAGCGUUGCACGGCUGUCUUCAGUUAAUGUCGCGAGACUUUGGUUAGUUCCAUUAAAUUAACGUAAACCCUUACUUUAUUUUUAUAUAGAGUAGUUCCCCGCUAUAUUGGAUAUGAU
rnacentral:rRNA from 1 species